rnacentral:rRNA from 1 species
GACGAACGCUGGCGGCGCGCCUAACACAUGCAAGUCGAACGAGAGAGAGGGAGCUUGCUUCCUCAAUCGAGUGGCGAACGGGUGAGUAACGCGUGAGGAACCUGCCUCAAAGAGGGGGACAACAGUUGGAAACGACUGCUAAUACCGCAUAAGCCCACGACCCGGCAUCGGGUUGAGGGAAAAGGAGCAAUCCGCUUUGAGAUGGCCUCGCGUCCGAUUAGCUAGUUGGUGAGGUAAUGGCCCACCAAGGCGACGAUCGGUAGCCGGACUGAGAGGUUGAACGGCCACAUUGGGACUGAGACACGGCCCAGACUCCUACGGGAGGCAGCAGUGGGGAAUAUUGCACAAUGGGGGAAACCCUGAUGCAGCGACGCCGCGUGGAGGAAGAAGGUCUUCGGAUUGUAAACUCCUGUUGUUGAGGAAGAUAAUGACGGUACUCAACAAGGAAGUGACGGCUAACUACGUGCCCGCCGCCGCGGUAUAACGUACGUCACAAGCGUUGUCCGGAAUUACUGGGUGUAAAGGGGGCGCCAGCCGGAACGACAUGUUGGAAGUGAAAUCUAUGGGCUCAACCCAUAAACUGCUUUCAAAACUGUUUUUCUUGAGUAGUGCAUAGGUAGGCGGAAUUCCCGGUGUAGCGGUGGAAUGCGUAGAUAUCGGGAGGAACACCAGUGGCGAAGGCGGCCUACUGGGCACCAACUGACGCUGAGGCUCGAAAGUGUGGGUAGCAAACAGGAUUAGAUACCCUGGUAGUCCACACCGUAAACGAUGAUUACUAAGUGUUGGAGGAUUGACCCCUUCAGUGCCGCAGUUAACACAAUAAGUAAUCCACCUGGGGAGUACGACCGCAAGGUUGAAACUCAAAGGAAUUGACGGGGGCCCGCACAAGCAGUGGAGUAUGUGGUUUAAUUCGACGCAACGCGAAGAACCUUACCAAGUCUUGACAUCCUGCGACGAUGCUGGAAACAGUAUUUUCCUUCGGGACGCAGAGACAGGUGGUGCAUGGUUGUCGUCAGCUCGUGUCGUGAGAUGUUGGGUUAAGUCCCGCAACGAGCGCAACCCUUACUGUCAGUUACUACGCAAGAGGACUCUGGCAGGACUGCCGUUGACAAAACGGAGGAAGGUGGGGAUGACGUCAAAUCAUCAUGCCCUUUAUGACUUGGGCUACACACGUACUACAAUGGCGUUAAACAAAGAGAAGCAAGACCGCGAGGUGGAGCAAAACUCAGAAACAACGUCCCAGUUCGGACUGCAGGCUGCAACUCGCCUGCACGAAGUCGGAAUUGCUAGUAAUCGUGGAUCAGCAUGCCACGGUGAAUACGUUCCCGGGCCUU